AGGGCCCGGGGCCGUACCUGGCGUCCAGGAAGCGGGAGCGCAGGAUCAUGACGGCCUCGCAGGUGCUCUGCUUCAGCUGCAUCUGGAUGGUGCUGAACUUGCCGUGGAUGAUGCUCACCAUGCGCUCGAUCUCCUUGGGGGAGAUGGGCCUGGUCCGGCUCUGCUCCCGCAGCAGGUUCAUCACGUGCGUGGUGAACUCGCUGCAGGCCUGGGGACACAGGGAUUUGUGGCGGCAGCCCCUGCACUCGCUGCCCCGGCGCCAGAGCCCCCCCAAAGCUCCAGAGGAGUCUCUUCAGCUGGAUUUUACUCUUUUACAAAACUCCACACAGGACACUGAACAGGGCUGGUUUCAUCCUGUGGCAGUUCAGGGCGUGUUUCCUGGGGGAAAAAAAGGAGGAAAAAUGAGCCCAAAUCCACGGACAAAAGCCAAGAAAACCUCGGGGAUGGCAGGGACACGCCCACCGGUGGACACGCCCUCUCCUGUGUCAGCAAGGGACACGCCCAGCACUGGCCGCGCCCCCGAUACCCACGCGGGACACGCCCACAUUCUCCGUCAGUCCCCGCCCACUGCCGAAGGGUCACGCCCAUCCCCGGGCAAAACCAUUUAUUCCAGGACUCUCUGGGACACAGAGGUGGGAAGGACAUUCCAAGGCUUCGAGUCAGUCCAGGAGACCUGUCACCUCCCCGCAGCCCCUGCCUGACUCUGCUCUGCAACAAAGAAACCCUCCAGAAAGUCGUGUUCUCCUCAAGUGGCCGCUCUGGGGGCUGAUCCUCGGACAAAACCAGGAUGUUUGAUUAAAGAAAACACCCUGAAAUUAUAAAUUUAGAUGAUAUUCCGGCGCCUCGUGGAAAACAACUCCCCCUGCAUUUCACACCGGCACAUCCACAGCGGCUGGAGUUUAACCAUGUGAAAGGGAAGGAAAGCUGGAGGAUUAUUCCCAGUUUCUGAGAAUAUCCUGGAUGUUCUCCCCUCCAGACACAGCCCCAGAACCGACACCGACCGUUCACAUCCCAGGAGAGGGGUUGCCAUUAACGAAGAUUCCCAGUUUCUCUGCAGGGAGAAGAACGGGCCUGGGGCAGAUUCGAGGCGUUGUUUGAGCGUUAAGGUACAAAAACUGCACGUUAAAAAUCCUGACUGCCUCGGAAUGUGACCUCGAGCUGCCCCAGAGGGAUUUCCAGGGAGCAGAGGGCUGGUUUAAUGGGAACAUGACUCACUCCACACCCGUGAGCACAUGGUAUCACUUAGCAGAGCACAAACACAACUGCAGCUCCUCAGCCCCUCUCCAGCUCAGCAAGGAAUUCCGUGCUCCCAAACAUCCUCCCGAAGCCUGGAACACUCCGAAAUCCAAUUAAAAAACCCACUUGGGAAAGCAGGGAUCUGCUUCUCAGGAAGCAAUUUGCAGGGAUUCCCCUCAGAGGAGGCUUAGAGGGAUAACCAGCUUUGGGAAGCAGGUGGGACACAGCCCGGGUCAGGCUCUGAGUGACAGGUGAACCCAGAGAGUUUUGGCUGCCCGGAGCUUGGGAAGGGCCUUUCCCGAGGGAUAAUACUGAAGGACCGAGGAAAUACUUUGCUUGCCGAGAGAAAUUCCCGUCCCGCACCUCCGGACGCCGCCACACCGACUCAACCCCUCGUUAAAAAGAGUCUUUAAUGAGAAUCCCCCUCCGAGGUCCGUGAAACCACCUCGUCCUUCAUCCUCAGCGAGUCUUCCCGGGGGAACCGUCCGUGCCGGAGCUUUUGGGAUGCCGGAGAGCCCGGCCCGGCCCACUGCGGAGCGGGACAGCCCCGGGACUCGGGGCUAGAUGGAGGAGUCGACGGUGAAGUGGCCGUUGUGCGAGAGGGUGCCGCGGUCGGCCGUGUUCAGCUUGACCACGGUGGGCGUGUACUUGGAGUUGCGGGGGCACGGGAAGCACAGGAUGCGGCGGAAGGUGCUCCUCAUCUCCGUGUCGCGGUACGAGUAGACGAUGGCGUUGAUGAGGGAGUUGAUCUCGGCCAGCAGCAGCACGUACUUCUCCACCGCCAGCACGUUGCAGCUCUUGCAGCCCAGCCCGUCCAGGAGCAGCACGACCUGCCCGGGGGUCCAGCAGAUCACAAAGGCACCUGGGAGAGAGGGCCGUGCUGGGAGCAAGACCUGACAAGCCUCCGGUGUGGAUUCCAGCAGGAAGAAUCCAUUCCCAAAGCUGCAGCUUCCCGGUCCCUGAGGAGCCGAGCACGAGCAGCAGGUAAAGCUCGUGGGAUGUUUGUGGACCCGGAGCCGAGCGGGAGUCGCGCGGUCCCGAUGGAAUGGGAGGGACGGAAGGAGCCUGCGGUGGCCUGGCAGGCUCGGCUGUUUGGGACACUCUAAUUCAAGUAUUGUUGGAAACACCUUAAAUUGGGGCCUGAAGGGAAACCUGAACCUGGGAUCUCGUCACCUUCGAUCGAUCGUGGGAUGAGAUGGAAAACCAGCUGAGGAUGUUGUUGGAAAGGGACGAAGCCAACACUCCGCUCCCCCUGCUUGUACUUGAGCCGGCGCAGGGGGUGCGUGAGGCUCCUCCGGGCGUGGUUGUCGAAAUCCUCGGCCAGGCGGAAAUUCCGGUCCAGGAUCUCGGCGGCCUCCUGCCAGUUCUGGAAGCACUUGGGGCCCAUCCUCUGGAUCUCCUCCACGGCGUUGGCCACCAGCACGUCCCCGCUGGGCUUCAGCACCACCACGGCCGGCACCUCGGACACGGCGAAGCGCAGCUCCAGCUCCCUGCCGGCAACGGGAACGGAAUGGGAGUGGGAAUGGGAGUGGGAGUGGGAGUGGGA